rnacentral:lncRNA from 1 species
UGGUGGACAGAUUUGAAGCAGUUGCACCCAGGGCACCUGGGAGCCACAGCUGGAGCGUGUCAGUCACUGAGGUGUCCUCAGUGUGGGGGUGUGAUCUGGCCUGAGGUCUCGCUCUGAGAAGUGGGCUCUUCCCAACACUUCCUCCACGGAGGGACAGUGGAGGGUGAAGUUAGAUCCGCUGCCAGAGCCGGAAGCUCCUGCACUGCCCGGGGCUCUGUUCCAUGCGGGUCCGGGAGAAGCAUGGCGUCAGCCCAUCUGGGCCAGGACCGGGUGCUGCCCUGCUCACAGCUUCCCCAUGAGGUGACGUGUGCCCUGAAGUUCCAGAGUCUCCGAGUUCGGGAGAGUCCACGUUUAGGUGACUGUUCUUCAAAUACCCACUUCUAAGGGAAGAGGCCUCAGCCAUUCCUGACACAGAGGUCUCCAUGGGGACCACAUGGCCCACCCACGUGGCCUCUGCCCAGCAGCCGGAGCCACAGAGGACACACACACCCUCCCCCACAGGUACCUGCACACCACACAUGCACUACACACCACACACACACAUCCACACCCCACACACACCACACACACACCCAUCAUACACCACAUCCACACCACAUCCACUCACACACACCCACUCACACACACACACACACCCCUCACCCCAGGCAGCAUUGAGAGUCCCGGCCCCAGCGCACUCUCCCUUGGACAGUGGAACCAGAGGGGCAGGAAGGGUGGUCUUCCACGGUGGGGACCGAGGAAGCCUCGAGGCCCUCAGAGGUGAGCGGGAUGGAGUUCAUGCUGGGAGCGCCUUGUGCUCUUUGCCACUUGUGUAAAUGUUGCUGUCGACCGGGUUCUGUCCCCACUGACUGUUCCCCCUUGGAGGGAGGCAUGGCCCCGUGACCAGCUCUGGCCAGUGGAUUUGACAGGUGAGAGGGGCCACAUCCCUGUGAAAGCAUCUGAGAGCCGAGUGUCUCCAUCUUCCCUUCCCCUGUGGCCUCGAGAGGUUGGGUCCCCAAGUAAGGCCGGUGUGGAGCAGAGACCGCCAGCCCGUGACAGACAGGGCGUGAGAACGACAAUAAGCCUUUGUGGGUUUAGGCACGGAUUUGGGGCUGUUUGUUACCACCACAUCGUUCACCCCCUCCUGCUGCUGGGUGCAGUGAAGAACCACACCCCACAAAGGCUGGACUCUCCCCUGAGACGAGUCGUGGGAUUUGGGCACGAAGCUGGCAGCGGGUCGCAGAGGUUCAUGACCAGGAGGUGAGGACCUGCCUUCUGGCAGCGAUCCUGCGGCCACUCGAUGCCCGGCCCUCCCGGCCGGUGUCUCCCGAGGCCACAGAGCCUUUCUGAGAAACAGAUAUCAGGAUGCGAUCAUGCAACACGGAGCCGCCUGAAACACAAAGUUCACGGGUGUGUGCAAGUAUCUUUGUGUCUUCCUUCUCUUUUCCAUCGAAAGAGCAUAAACUCAGGACGGUGAUGGCCCUGGAAUGGGAACAGAACGAGACCGGGAAACUCAUUUAAUUUUCUGUCCACGCCCCCUUACACCCAUCUCUCAAAAGCUGAAGGCAACACCCGAGAGUCAUUCCCGCCCUGCUCUGCACCCCGGGAAGUUGACCCCAGGAGACUGCUUCAUCCCCACUCCCCUCCUUCUGGCUUCGAGUUGGGUUCAGCCAAUGGGAGAGCCCAACAGGACAUGGGAGGGUGGGAGGAGAGAGGCCCGGUGUGUAAACUCCACUCUCUCCUUGCCUCAGCACCUCCAGGACUAUGGCUCCACUGGGCAGCCCCCUGCUAAAGCUGUAGCCCUCUCUGGGCUCUGGUACUG